rnacentral:rRNA from 1 species
ACAGCAGUAGCCGCGGUAAUACGUAGGUCCCGAGCGUUGUCCGGAUUUAUUGGGCGUAAAGCGAGCGCAGGCGGUUAGAUAAGUCUGAAGUUAAAGGCUGUGGCUUAACCAUAGUACGCUUUGGAAACUGUUUAACUUGAGUGCAAGAGGGGAGAGUGGAAUUCCAUGUGUAGCGGUGAAAUGCGUAGAUACAUGGAGGAACACCGGUGGCGAAAGCGGCUCUCUGGCUUGUAACUGACGCUGAGGCUCGAAAGCGUGGGGAGCAAACAGGAUUAGAUACCCCAGUAGUCCCUGUCUCUUAUACA